UACGUAGGGUGCGAGCGUUAAUCGGAAUUACUGGGCGUAAAGUGUGCGCAGGCGGCCGAGCAAGUCGAGUGUGAAAGCCCCGGGCUUAACUUGGGAAUUGCGCUCGAAACUACUUUGCUGGAGUGUGGCAGAGGAAGGUGGAAUUCCACGUGUAGCGGUGAAAUGCGUAGGGAUGUGGAGGAACACCAAUGGCGAAGGCAGCCUUCUGGGCCAACACUGACGCUCAUGCACGAAAGCGUGGGGAGCAAACAGG
rnacentral:rRNA from 1 species